rnacentral:rRNA from 1 species
AUUGAACGCUGGCGGCAGGCCUAACACAUGCAAGUCGAGCGGAUGAAGGGAGCUUGCUCCUGGAUUCAGCGGCGGACGGGUGAGUAAUGCCUAGGAAUCUGCCUGGUAGUGGGGGAUAACGUCCGGAAACGGGCGCUAAUACCGCAUACGUCCUGAGGGAGAAAGUGGGGGAUCUUCGGACCUCACGCUAUCAGAUGAGCCUAGGUCGGAUUAGCUAGUUGGUGGGGUAAAGGCCUACCAAGGCGACGAUCCGUAACUGGUCUGAGAGGAUGAUCAGUCACACUGGAACUGAGACACGAUCCAGACUCCUACGGGAGGCAGCAGUGGGGAAUAUUGGACAAUGGGCGAAAGCCUGAUCCAGCCAUGCCGCGUGUGUGAAGAAGGUCUUCGGAUUGUAAAGCACUUUAAGUUGGGAGGAAGGGCAGUAAGUUAAUACCUUGCUGUUUUGACGUUACCAACAGAAUAAGCACCGGCUAACUUCGU